AAGAGUGAAAAUAUGGAACAUAUAAAAUGGAGUCAUUUUCACCGAGCUGCUAAAAUAAUUAACAUAUGAAGUUUGAGGCAUUUGGAAAGACAUCACCCUUGUUUAACUAGCCUGGGAACUUCAACUUUUUUUAACUUUCCAGUCCUGUAUCAAUGCCUAGAUAUACAUCUGGACCUCUAGGACCAUUAUUUUGUCUUCUGAUGGAAACAUUCUCUCUUGGAACUAAGACCCCCAAACCAGUGGAGUUCAAUGCUAGGACAUGAAGCAAAAUUUCUGCAAAUGUGAUAUGAGAGAACUGAAGAUCCUGAUAUCAUUUUAGGACUUAAUGAGUUUUGUAAUAGGAAAGAGAUAACUGCUCACAAACACAUAACUGGACUCUUCCUGCUUGCAGUGAUGUAAGAAAAAGAAUCCGACAUCUAAAUUUAGAUGAGAAUAAAAAAGUAAAAAGGCAGUCCCAAACUGGAGAUAAAAAUAAGAAAGAAGAGAUCAAUUUCUGCCUAUCGCAAGUGACGACGAGGCAGAAAAACCUUGGGCUGGACUAAUGCCUAGAAAUGAAAGAGCAGAAACAGAUAUCUCCUCACCAGAAAUUAUUUUAACAGCACUAAGUAUUUUGACCACAUUUUAUGAGGAAGAAUCUUGAAAGAAACUGAAUUAGAAUUCUAUUUUUGAGUCUUUAGACUCAAUAUAAACAAAAUCAGAAUUUUCCUUUUCUCUUAAAACAUCCUAACUUUAUAGAUGUAUUUAUGUUGUCUUUAGGCAUUCUGUAAAUAUACCAAAUAGGCAAAAUGUGAGAGUUGUAAAUUUUGUUUAAUUUAUUUAUCUGUUUAUAUUGUAAGUUAUUGACCUGGAGUCUUUGGAUGCUGAAGGGCCUAUGGAUGGAAUUCACGGCAUGCUUGCAUUUGAUGGGUAAAAUAAUAUACAUAUUUUUCUUUAGUAACAUUUAAAUGAAAUUUAGAAAAUUCUCUAAGUAUAAAUGUUAGCAAAAAUCUUAGUACUUGUGACCUUGUAACCAGUAGAAAUACCAGAUACUUUCAAAUCACAGUGAGGUUGUGGCAGAUAUUGUAAAAUAUCAUUUAUGUUUAUCAAUCUCUCAAGAAUACUUCAGUAUCAGUUCUUAGCCUCUCUUUCUACAGAUGCUCUUGCACUAGAGCUAGCCAACUUCAAUGCAACUCUGGACCUUCAAAUGGUGGGUCUAUAUAACCUCAUAAUAGAAAUUUAACUCAAACAGCUUUAGAGAAUUUUGGUAUUCUUGAGAGAAUCCAUCCAUUUCUUGUUAAGCAAGCUAAGGGAACUUUAGUUAAAUUUAUGAUAAUAUAUUUUGGAGAAUAUGGGUUGCCAACAUUUGUAACCAAAAAAACAAAAACUGGAAGUCAACUGGAUAUCUUACAUGAUAUGCACAAAGCCAUCAAAAAAGUUUAUCAUUCUUAUUCAUGCUAAGCAACAACAGCCAUCACACUGAGUUAUAAAAAUAAAAUUUAACUUUUGCUUGCCUAUAUUUUAAAUCUAUUGCUAUUACCAUAGUUUUAAAACUCGUAUAUUAUUAUAUUACAAAAAUAUUUUAUAAUUAUUUCAAUAUAAUUUACUUUCUUUGUAAUCCUAUGUAUUCUAUGUAUUUAAAACAUUAUUAAUAGGAAUCCAGGCUUUAUCAGACUGCCAAAGAGGCUCAUGACAUAAAAGAAGGAUAAGAGCCCGGCUGGUGUUGCUCAGUGGUUGAGUGUCAACCUAUGAAUCAGGAGGUCAUGGUUCGAUUCUUGGUC